GUGGGUGGUCGUCUGUCUCGACCACCAGAAGAGGGAGGAAACCCUGAAAGUGAAAGUGUUCAGUUUGAGUCUCAGUCUCCAUUUUGAGUCGACAGAGCAAAAGGAGGGAAACUGAAGGCUGAGGCAGGACUGACUGAAGUCCAGAAGAUGAGUGUUUGUGUGGAGGAAGAGGAGGACAGAGCAGAGUCUCCAAUGUCCAGCUGUCUGUCUAUGAAGAGUGAUCAGUCCUAUAAUCCUCCUCUGAACUUCAGUAAUGAACCUGGACCCUCAGACACAAAAGAGAGGAAGAGGAGUCAUGUUUCUGUGGAGGAGCAGCUGUCCUGCUGUGUUUUGUGUCAGGACGUCCUGAAGGAUCCAGUCUCUACCAGCUGUGGACACUGGUUCUGCAGACAGUGCAUCACCUCAUACUGGGACCAGUCUGCUUCAUCAGGAGACUCCUCCUGUCCCCAGUGUGAAAAAGAUCCAGAAAAGAGCUGGACUGCAGACAGCCGUCAGACCAGCACUGUACAAAGUAAGACUGUACAUCUUAAAUCAAAUUUUAAUGUAACCUUCUACAUUUCACAACAUUAAGUUUAUUUAUAGACUUAUAAUAAGUUAAUUCAACCAUGUGGAUACAACCCAAAAAUUGCAUGAAUCAUGUAACUAUAUAAACUUCAUGGAAUAAACUGAACAAGUGCUACUUGUCCUGGAUGUAGGAUGAGAUUGAACCAUUGGCAGCACAGUAGGCAAGUACCAGUGAAUAGAAAAUAGAUUCGAUCAGCCACCAGUAGUCAGUGCAGGGUGUGGAGGAGCAGUGUAGUGUGGGAGAACUUCAGUAGGUUGAAGACCAGCUG
rnacentral:lncRNA from 15 species